GGGGGUAUAGCUCCGGCGUAGAGUGUGUGCUUAGCAUGCACGAGAUCCUGGGUUCAAUCCCCAGUACUUCCA
rnacentral:tRNA from 1 species